rnacentral:rRNA from 1 species
UACGUAGGGGGCUAGCGUUGUCCGGAAUCAUUGGGCGUAAAGCGCGUGUAGGCGGCCCGGUAAGUCCGCUGUGAAAGUCGGGGGCUCAACCCUCGGAUGCCGGUGGAUACUGUCGGGCUCGAGUACGGAAGAGGCGAGUGGAAUUCCUGGUGUAGCGGUGAAAUGCGCAGAUAUCAGGAGGAACACCAAUUGCGAAGGCAGCUCGCUGGGACGUUACUGACGCUGAGACGCGAAAGCGUGGGUAGCAAACAGG